AGGCUGCCCACACUCUGCCCCCACUGCAUCCGGAUGCCAAGGCACCAGCUGCUGCCCCAGUGCCUGGCAUGGCCCUCACUGCAGCUGGCAAGGUCUUGUGUCCUGAGGGCACAGGGCAGCGAGCUGAGGGGGGUUGGGCAUGGGCCACAUAGGGACAAUCUGAAUCCCUCCCUCUGUCUAUUUAGGGGACCAGAAACAAAGGUGAGGCAGCCAGCAGAGACAAGGAUGUGUUUAAUGGUGGCGUGGGGAGGCCAGCCUGGAAGGGGACAAAGAUGGACCAUCCGUGGGUCGGAAGAGAAAUGGAGACAGGACUGUGAGGGAAAGAGAGGCCACAUGGAACCUUAUCGAUAAAGAACAGGAGGGAACCCUGAGGGGACAGAAAAGAAAGGAGUGAUCAGGAUGAGUGGAAAUAAAUCAAAUACCACCAUGAGAAAGAAAAAAGCAAGAUAUACCACCAGGAAAAUGGAAAGGAGAAAUAAAAAGAGACUGGAGACAACGGCAGGAGAGUUACAUCUCGACAUCAGAAACCAAGGUGAGCCGGACCUUGGAAAGGGGAAGGAAAGAGAGAGAAAGA